AUAACGCAUCGAAAGAUGUGCUAAUACCGCGUAAGACCACAGCCUCACAUGGGGCGGGGGUCAAAGGAGCAAUCCGGAUAAAGAUGGGCUCGCGUCCGAUUAGCUAGUUGGUGAGAUAACAGCCCACCAAGGCGACGAUCGGUAGCCGACCUGAGAGGGUGAUCGGCCACAUUGGAACUGAGAGACGGUCCAGACUCCUACGGGAGGCAGCAGUGGGGAAUAUUGGGCAAUGGGCGAAAGCCUGACCCAGCAACGCCGCGUGAGGGAAGAAGGGUUUCGGCUCGUAAACCUCUGUCCUAUGGGACGAAGGAAGUGACGGUACCAUAGGAGGAAGCCCCGGCUAACUACGUGCCAGCAGCCGCGGUAAUACGUAGGGGGCGAGCGUUGUCCGGAAUGAUUGGGCGUAAAGGGCGCGUAGGCGGCCUGCUAAGUCUGGAGUGAAAGUCCUGCUUUCAAGGUGGGAAGUGCUUUGGAUACUGGUGGGCUGGAGUGCAGGAGAGGAAAGCGGAAUUACCGGUGUAGCGGUGAAAUGCGUAGAGAUCGGUAGGAACACCAGUGGCGAAGGCGGCUUUCUGGACUGAAACUGACGCUGAGGCGCGAAAGCGUGGGGAGCAAACAGGAUUAGAUACCCUGGUAGUCCACGCGGU
rnacentral:rRNA from 1 species